rnacentral:rRNA from 1 species
AUGGUGGGUCCAUUCAAGACCGCUCGAGGCGGCAUGACGCACCUGUUGGUCGCCGUCGACAAGUUCACCAAGUGGGUCGAGGCCAAGCUGAUCAAAAAAACUCGACGACCCCACGACAGUCAUGCUCAUCAAAGACAUCCCUCUCCGCUGUGGCAUCCCCCACAACAUCAUCAUAGAAAAUGGCACCAACUUUGCCAAGGGCUAUCUCGCUUGCUUCUGCGCCGACCAUGGCUGGACCUAGCAUCCGUUGCGCACCCACAAUUGAAUGGCCAGGCGGAAAGGGCAAACGACCGAUCCUAG